UAUAAGUAUAAACGAUUUAAUCGUGAAACCGCGAACGGCUCAUUAUAACAGCUAUCAUUUACUUGAUCUUGACUUCCUACUUGGAUAACUGUGGUAAUUCUAGAGCUAAUACAUGCACCAAAGCUCCGACCUUACGGGAAGAGCGCAUUUAUUCGAACAAAACCAAGCGGCUUCGGCCGUCCGCAGUUGACUCAGAAUAACUAAGCUGAUCGCAUGGUCUUGUACCGGCGACGUGUCUUUCAAGUAUCUGCCUUAUCAACUUUCGAUGGUAGUGUAUCUGACUACCAUGGUGGUGACGGGUAACGGAGGAUAAGGGUUCGACUCCGGAGAAGGGGCCUGAGAAAUGGCCACUACGUCUAAGGAUGGCAGCAGGCGCGCAAAUUACCCACUCUCAGAAUGAGGAGGUAGUGACGAGAAAUAACGAGACCGUUCUCUACGAGGCCGGUCAUCGGAAUGGGUACAAUUUAAA
rnacentral:rRNA from 1 species